CAAUAUUUUUAUAGACAUAUGCAUCGACAACCGCCCUUUUAAAGUUUUUAUAAAUAGAAAGGAAGAGGGGGUUUGAGAUCUCAAAUGUGGUGAUGUUGGAGAGACCAAUAGAUUGGGAAGAUGUUGCAUAUGAGCAUGGAGUAAACGAAGUGGCUAUGAUAUAAAUUCCAUGCUCAUUAAUGUUUGGAGUGAAAUCCAUGUGGUAUGGUGAAAAUGGUAAGGUGAGUGUGGUAAAAAAAGAAAAGAAAAAGGAUACACGGACGACUUGGUUCGAAACUAGCACAACUACCGUUCCCUGGCAACAGCGCCAGAAAGCUUGUUGGGUAUUUUAAACACAAACAAAAAAAAUCCAUAAGCACACGGAUAUCGAUGUAGCUUUCACCCGGGAGUAUUCCAGAGUAUCGAUUUUCCACAGGGAAUGUGAGUGUACUAAUUAAGAUUCAAGAUCGCCCA
rnacentral:lncRNA from 1 species